UACGUAGGGUGCGAGCGUUGUCCGGAAUUAUUGGGCGUAAAGAGCUCGUAGGCGGUGUGUCGCGUCGGCCGUGAAAACCUGGGGCUCAACUCUGGGCGUGCGGUCGAUACGGGCAUCACUUGAGUUCGGCAGGGGAGACUGGAAUUCCUGGUGUAGCGGUGAAAUGCGCAGAUAUCAGGAGGAACACCGGUGGCGAAGGCGGGUCUCUGGGCCGAUACUGACCGCUGAUGUGCGA
rnacentral:rRNA from 1 species